GGAAUGAGGAAGUCCAGAGAACACUGUCCUGGGCAGCUGCCAAGUCUCUGAGCACAGAAAGGCACAUGGCAAGAAGUUCCCAUCCUGCACACCUAUAAGUGUGAUGGAUACCUUCCCUCUGGGACUUAGACAGAAAAGGGCCUCCUGCUUGAUUUAAACACUUGGACCUCUCCUCUUGACUCGUUCAUCUUGUCACCUCUUACAUAGGCUUUGCCACUGACCUUGGAGGAAUAUAAACCAAAGCUGGAUCAAUAAUACAAGAUGCUGGUCCCAUUAAUUUCAUUUACUGUGACUCUGGCAAGCAAGUUAAAAUGUGAUUUGUCCUGAGGGGAUUUUUAUUUUAUUUUUUUCCCUCGCUUUAUCUUUUAAAAAACUAUUAGUUUGAACCCUGUCUUAAUUAUUAACUCUAGUUUUAUCCUAAUUUGUGCUUCCCUUGAAACAAUUUCCAAAGGGUCCUCUUUCUUAGAAGGAAGCCCAAAAAGGAGACCGUGGGAACUUUAGAAAAAUUGAGUUCUGUUUUAUCAGUCAGGGUUCAAUGAGGGAAGCAGAAACCCUUAAAAGUAGCAUCCUUCAGGGGAAGCGGGCACCCCCUGCCACGGAACUGACUGGCAAGUUGGAGAUGUCAAAGAAGGAUCCAGGGGAAGGUGGAACUGCUGUAGGUCUGACUGCUGUCCUGCACCAACAAGGCAAACCAGCUGAUAAAUAACAACAUUGACAGCCGAUCAAAGUCCUGGAGAUGGAAACGAACUGCCAACUGAUUGACCAUUUUCCUCAAGGUAAGAAAUGCUGAAAUAACUUGGAAUGUAAGGAAGAUAGUGAAGAUGAUAUGAAUUGCUUUUUCCAAGGGC